rnacentral:rRNA from 1 species
GUGGGGAAUAUUGGACAAUGGGCGCAAGCCUGAUCCAGCCAUGCCGCGUGAGUGAUGAAGGCCCUAGGGUUGUAAAGCUCUUUCACCGAUGAAGAUAAUGACGGUAGUCGGAGAAGAAGCCCCGGCUAACUUCGUGCCAGCAGCCGCGGUAAUACGAAGGGGGCUAGCGUUGUUCGGAAUUACUGGGCGUAAAGCGAACGUAGGCGGAGAUUUAAGUCAGGGGUGAAAUCCUAGAGCUCAACUCUGGAAAGGCCUUUGAUAAUGGGGAUAUCGAGUAUAGAAGAGGUGAGUGGAAUUCCGAGUGUAGAGGUGAAAUUCGUAGAUAUUCGGAGGAACACCAGUGGCGAAGGCGGCUCACUGGUCCAUUACUGACGCUGAGGUGCGAAAGCGUGGGGAGCAAACAGGAUUAGAAACCCCAGUAGUCC